rnacentral:piRNA from 1 species
UCCGUAAAGAAGUGAAAGACUCAAAGGAG